rnacentral:rRNA from 1 species
GAUUCGAACCACCUAACGAGGAACGAUCGGAGGGCAAGUCUGGUGCCAGCAGCCGCGGUAAUUCCAGCUCCAAUAGCGUACGUUAAAGUUGCUGCAGUUAAAAAGCUCGUAGUUGAACGUUCGGGUUCCGCGGGACGGGGCCGCCCCGCGAGGGACGGCGCCGCCCCGGGGCUCGUGAUAUCUUAUCUCGCCGCCCGUCGCGAGGCGGACGGAGGGAUGGAUGAGGUUACCUGGAAAAAAUCGGGGCGAUCUAGGCGGGCGAACCUCGCCAACGAACGAUCGGACAUGGGAUAACGGAAGAGGGCGUCGGCUCGACUUCGUCGGUUCCUCGGGCCGAGGCACGUACGGUGAAUAGGGGACGGUCGGGGCCGCCCGUUACCGGGUCGUGAGAGGUGAAAUUCUAGGAUCGACCCGAGACGAACUGCCGCGAAAAGCAUUCGGCAAGGACGCUUUCAUUAAUCAAGAACGAAAGUCGGGGGAUCGAAGACGAUCAGAUACCGUCGUAGUCCCGACCGUAAACGAU